CGAGAGCGUAUAUUAAAGUUGUUGCAGUUAAACCGCUCGUAGUUGGGUGUCUGCCCAGGGCGUCCGGUCCGCCCGCUGGGUGUGUAUCUGGCUUGGCCUGGGCAUCUCCCUGGGGGCUGUCACGGUGCUUGACUGUGUGGUGUGGCACUCAGGGCUUUUACUUUGAGGAAAUUAGAGUGUUUCAAGCAGGCUCGCGCCUUGAAUACAUUAGCAUGGAAUAAUAAGAUAAGGCCUUGGCUGUAUUUUGUUGGUUUCUAUAGCUGAGGUAAUGAUGAACAGGGAUACUUGGGGGCAUACGAAUUUAACUGUCAGAGGUGAAAUUCUUGGAUUUGUUAAAGACGGACUACUGUGAAAGCAUUUGCCAAGAAUGUUUUCAUUGAUCAAGAAUGAAAGUUAGGGGGUCGAAGAUGAUUAGAUACCGU
rnacentral:rRNA from 1 species